GAUGAACGCUGGCGGCGUGCCUAAUGCGUGCAAGUCGAGCGAACAGACGAGGAGCUUGCUCCUCUGACGUUAGCGGCGGACGGGUGAGUAACACGUGGAUAACCUACCUAUAAGACUGGGAUAACUUCGGGAAACCGGAGCUAAUACCGGAUAAUAUAUUGAACCGCAUGGUUCAAUAGUGAAAGACGGUUUUGCUGUCACUUAUAGAUGGAUCCGCGCCGCAUUAGCUAGUUGGUAAGGUAACGGCUUACCAAGGCAACGAUGCGUAGCCGACCUGAGAGGGUGAUCGGCCACACUGGAACUGAGACACGGUCCAGACUCCUACGGGAGGCAGCAGUAGGGAAUCUUCCGCAAUGGGCGAAAGCCUGACGGAGCAACGCCGCGUGAGUGAUGAAGGUCUUCGGAUCGUAAAACUCUGUUAUUAGGGAAGAACAAAUGUGUAAGUAACUAUGCACGUCUUGACGGUACCUAAUCAGAAAGCCACGGCUAACUACGUG
rnacentral:rRNA from 1 species